AAGGCUCUGCCCGGUGAUUAUAUUUAACGGCUGCAGUCUGGAAUCUGUACUAAGGUAGNGNAANCNUUUGCCUCUUAAUUGGGGGCGGGCAUGAAUGGGUUGACAUAUAUACCAACUGUCUUUUAUUAUGUUUUUAAUUUUACUUAUAGGUGAAAAGGCCUAUAUAGAGUUGAGGGACGAGAAGACCCUAUGAAACUUUAUUGUGAUUGACUGGCCACUAUUCUUGGCUUGUGUCUGGUUGCUGUUUAGCUGGGGCCGCAUGGUGCAUGGAGUACUUAAUUUUUUUGAUCCGUUUUUACGAGAGAAGAGAGUUACUCUAGGGAUAACAGCGCAAUCUACUUGGUGAGUUCUUAUCUAUAGGUGGGUUUGCGACCUCGAUGUUGGACUAGGAUAUCCUUUAGGUGCAGUAGUUUAAAAGGGUUAGUCUGUUCGACUAUUAAUAAUCCUACGUGAUCUGAGUUCAAACCGGAGA
rnacentral:rRNA from 1 species